rfam:Gossypium arboreum cultivar AKA8401 contig_36086_1, whole genome shotgun sequence.
AACCCAUGGUGAGGGCACAUUCUCAAUAGAUGCUUUUACCUCUCCUAUGCAUCAUGUAAAGGCUCUAAAUCAAUUUGCACGAAGGAAGAGAUAUCAUUCCUAUCAUU